GAUCCUGGCUCAGGAUGAACGCUAGCUACAGGCUUAACACAUGCAGGUCGAGGGGCAGCAUGGUCUUAGCUUGCUAAGGCCGAUGGCGACCGGCGCACGGGUGAGUAACACGUAUCCAACCUGCCGUCUACUCUUGGACAGCCUUCUGAAAGGAAGAUUAAUACAAGAUGGCAUCAUGAGUCCACAUGUUCACAUGAUUAAAGGUACUCCGGUAGACGAUGGGGA
rnacentral:rRNA from 1 species